CCAAUAGCGUAUAUUAAAGUUGUUGCAGUUAAAAAGCUCGUAGUUGAAUUUCGGGAUCGAAUUGUUGGUCGUGCUUCGGUACGCACUGGCAUUAUCGGUUCCUACCUUCUGAAGAACCGCGAUGUCAUUAAUUUGGUGUCGUGGGGAAUCAGGACUGUUACUUUGAAAAAAUUAGAGUGUUUAAAGCAGGCUUACGCUUGAAUACAUUAGCAUGGAAUAAUGAAAUAGGACGUUUGAUUCUAUUUUGUUGGUUUCUAGGAUCGACGUAAUGAUUAAUAGGGAUAGUUGGGGUCAUUAGUAUUCAAUUGUCAGAGGUGAAAUUCUUGGAUUUAUUGAAGACUAACUACUGCGAAAGCAUUUGCCAAGGAUGUUUUCAUUAAUCAAGAACGAAAGUUAGGGGAUCGAAGACGAUCAGAUACCGUCGUAGUCUUAACCAUAAACUAUGCCGACUAGGGAUCGGAUGAUGUUAAUUUUAUAAUGACUCAUUCGGCGCCUUACG
rnacentral:misc_RNA from 1 species